rnacentral:rRNA from 1 species
CCUACGGGAGGCAGCAGUGGGGAAUAUUGCACAAUGGGCGCAAGCCUGAUGCAGCCAUGCCGCGUGUGUGAAGAAGGCCUUCGGGUUGUAAAGCACUUUCAGCGGGGAGGAAGGCGUUAAGGUUAAUAACCUUGUCGAUUGACGUUACCCGCAGAAGAAGCACCGGCUAACUCCGUGCCAGCAGCCGCGGUAAUACGGAGGGUGCAAGCGUUAAUCGGAAUUACUGGGCGUAAAGCGCACGCAGGCGGUCUGUCAAGUCGGAUGUGAAAUCCCCGGGCUCAACCUGGGAACUGCAUUCGAAACUGGCAGGCUAGAGUCUUGUAGAGGGGGGUAGAAUUCCAGGUGUAGCGGUGAAAUGCGUAGAGAUCUGGAGGAAUACCGGUGGCGAAGGCGGCCCCCUGGACAAAGACUGACGCUCAGGUGCGAAAGCGUGGGGAGCAAACAGGAUUAGAUACCCGUGUAGUC